ensembl:lncRNA SNHG17 small nucleolar RNA host gene 17
GGCAUGGCUGAUAGAAGAGUGAGAUGUGUAAUCAGCCCUGACCCGCAGAUGACAGAUGGGCCAUCCUGCCCAUCAUAGCCCUUACUGUGUAUGCUAGACUGCGCCACGCUGGUGUGCCACACCAGAACCUGUCCUAGGUUCAGAGUCCCCUUCAGUGUACUGCUUCAGGAUCACAAAUUCAACAAUAUGUGCAUAAGAUGAGACUUAAGCUGUCCCUGAUGACUGGUUCUUCUCUAGAUGAACUCUUCGUGUUGCUGAGACCGUAGACCACUGUUAACACUAGCCAACUUUUAGGAAAUGUUUACCACCUGGUGGCUUCUGUGCCAGUACUCUCCUUGUCCUUUCCAGAACGGGUUUGACCAGGUGAUGUCUAGAUAGCUCAUCCAGGGCUUCUUGAUUCUGGCAGAGGAGGCUGAUUGGUGCAGAGAGGCCCAUGAGAGGUAUCUCCACCCUGCCAGGAAGCAGGUGGACCAUGGUGUUCUAUGAGGUCUGUCCUCUGGAGAUCUGGGGCUUUGUGUCCCACAAGGGUGGGUGCAUGCAGGUUCCCUGGGCGUGAUGUCUGGGAAGUAGAGAGAGGUGAGGUAAGAGUGUCUUUGUGCUGGCCCCAGUUUUACCCUCUUUGGGGCCAUCAUGAAUACAUUGGGUUCCUCUUGUGCCUGCUUGGGUUUAGCAUCUUUAGGGAUCCCUUAUCAUUGUUGUGUCUUGGAAUAUCUGACUCAAAAGCUGGAGGGCUUUGGCAUCAAACCUACCUGUACCUUGGUCCCAAACGCUUUACCACUACUCCCUAGCUUUGGUUCUUUUUGUGAUCUUCAGUUUUCUCGUCUGGAAAACAGGAGUACGCUGAGGUGAUUUUUCUUAGGAUCACACCGUCCCUAUCUUCCACGUCCGAAGAAGUCUGCCAGCUUUCUCAUCUGGAGGGUCUUUCCUUUACUUCUCCUGGUUGGGGCAGGUUCCGUUUAUGUGGGACAAGAUGGAAGCUGCUUCAUCCUGUGCUCUGCUGUGCCACUGUCCUGGCUCAGGCCAUUUUUCAGGCUUCUGACGUUGGUCUCCAAUUUCAACAAGCCCUGGAUCUCUUUCUGCCCCUGUGUGCAAAGUGAUUACAGGCUGCUUGUGUCUUGGUUAUUGGUAAUAAAGGAAAAGUUACAAGGUUUUCCUCUUGUGUAGAGGCACCAUUGUCCAUUUCAGACGGGAUGACCUCAGGGGACUGUGUCAGUGACCAGGAUGGGCUAGACAAGCUGUCAGUACAUUCACCUCCUGAGACACUGAUUCCCCUGGUGUGUUUUCUGUGGGUGAAUAUCGUGGUUUCCUGGACUUGCCAUAAGCAGUGCCAAGUGCAUCAGUCACAUCUUGGCUUCUUGUGCCCUGCAGGAGUGUCACAUGACUGCCGCCCCAUGUGUGUGAGAGGCGUCCUCUGGGAGAGCAUGGAUCCUGAGGUCCCAGGAUUGUCAGCUGACCUCUGUCCUGUGUGCCCAGUGGCCCCAGGUGACGUGUCUUCAAGAAGAGGCUGAGCUGCGGUGCUUGUAAGAGUCAUGUGCUGUUCCUGGGGCUUGGAUGAUGUAGGGGAAGCAAGGUGAAAGUGGUAUCCCGUGGUUCCACGUUCUGUCCUGCUGUGGGGCUGUCCCUCACAUGCUUUCAGUGGCUGUUGCAGAGGAAGAGCCUCCGGAAAUCUGCGUGGGUCUCAGCCUUAGAUCCAAGGACAGUCCAAGGAAGUCCUAAGACCAUGGAGUUGGUGAUCUGGGAUCUGGGUUUGCUGAUAUUUCUCACCGUGAAUCUCUUGGUGGUGUUUGUGGGCACGAGAGGGGCAGAGAAUGGAGAGUGAGGCUACCACAUGAAGCGUCACCAGAGCUGCUCCCUGCUGCCUGCUCAGAGCACCCCGGAUCCACUGUUCAAUCUGCACAAGAUUCGGGGUCCAGACAUGGGAGACUUCAGCUGCCUCAGAGGACCGUGGACAGGGAAGGCCAGCCUCGCAUCCCUCUGUCCAUGCCUGGAAUGACUUUAAUAACCAAGAGUUUUAUUUUUGAAUUUGUAGCUGUCGUUCACUUUUUACCCACCCAUUCAAUAAACCUUACAGAAUUGCUC